AAACCAGCACCUCAAGUGGUCAGGAGGUUUAUUGGGCCUAAAGCAUCCGUAGCCUGAUCUAUGAGUUUCCGGUUAAAUCCACAUGCUCAACAUUUGGGCUGCCGGAAAAACUGUAGAUCUAGGGAGUGGGAGAGGUAGACGGUACUCGGUAGGAAGGGGUAAAAUCCUUUGAUCUAUUGAUGACCACCAGUGGCGAAGGCGGUCUACCAGAACACGUUCGACGGUGAGGGAUGAAAGCUGGGGGAGCAAACCGGAUUAGAUACCCGGGUAGUCC
rnacentral:rRNA from 1 species